rnacentral:piRNA from 1 species
UGUGAAAUAUACGUACGGUUUUACGUCA